rnacentral:tRNA from 1 species
UCCUCAGUGGCGCAAUUGGCUAGCGCGUUCGGCUGUUAAGCUAUAGCUGUUACCGAGAGGUUGGAAGUUCGAGCCUUCCCUGAGGAG